GAUGAACGCUGACAGAAUGCUUAACACAUGCAAGUCAACUUGAAUUUGGGUUUUUAACUUAAGUUUGGGUGGCGGACGGGUGAGUAACGCGUAAAGAACUUGCCUCACAGCUAGGGACAACAUUUGGAAACGAAUGCUAAUACCUAAUAUUAUGAUAAUAGGGCAUCCUAUAAUUAUGAAAGCUAUAAGCGCUGUGAGAGAGCUUUGCGUCCCAUUAGCUAGUUGGAGAGGUAACGGCUCACCAAGGCGAUGAUGGGUAGCCGGCCUGAGAGGGUGAUCGGCCACAAGGGGACUGAGACACGGCCCUUACUCCUACGGGAGGCAUCAGUGGGGAAUAUUGGACAAUGGACCAAGAGUCUGAUCCAACAAUUCUGUGUGCACGAUGAAGUUUUUCGGAAUGUAAAGUGCUUUCAGUUGGGAUGAAAGAAAUGACGGUACCAACAGAAGAAGUGACGGCGAAAUACGUGCCAGCAGCCGCGGUAAUACGUAUGUCACGAGCGUUAUCCGUGAUUUAUUGGGCGUAAAGCGCGUCUAGGUGGUUAUGUAAUCUGAUGUGAAAAUGCGGGGCUCAUCUCUGUUUUGCGUUGGAAUUGGAUACUUUUUUUCUGGAUGGGUAAGCGGAAUUGUAUUGUUUAUGUGAAAUUCUUGAUAUUUGGAUGAAUGCCGAUGUAAUCCAUGUUACUGGACUUAUACGACUGUUGAAUGUUAAUUGUGGUGUGUAAUAAGAUAGAUUUUGGGUUGUUCUGGGUGAUAUUCCUAUUGGUAUUUGUGCUUUGUGAAUAGCGGCGACGUUGGGGGGGGCCUAAAAAAAAAAA
rnacentral:rRNA from 1 species